GAUGAAGAACGUAGCGAAAUGCGAUAAGUAAUGUGAAUUGCAGAAUUCAGUGAAUCAUCGAAUCUUUGAACGCACAUUGCGCCCGCCAGUAUUCUGGCGGGCAUGCCAGUUCGAGCGUCAUUACAACCCUCAGGCCCCCGGGCCUGGCGUUGGGGAUCGGCGGAAGCCCCCUGUGGGCACACGCCGUCCCUCAAAUACAGUGGCGGUCCCGCCGCAGCUUCCAUUGCGUAGUAGCUAACACCUCGCAACUGGAGAGCGGCGCGGCCAUGCCGUAAAACACCCAACUUCUGAAUGUUGACCUCGAAUCAGGUAGGAAUACCCGCUGAACUUAAGCAUAUCAAUAAGCGGAGGA
rnacentral:misc_RNA from 1 species